AUUGAACGCUGGCGGCAGGCUUAACACAUGCAAGUCGUACGAGCGGCGGACGGGUGAGUAAUGUAUGGGGAUCUGCCUGAUGGAGGGGGAUAACUACUGGAAACGGUAGCUAAUACCGCAUACCAUCAGAUGUACCCAUAUGGGAUUAGCUUGUAGGUGAGGUAACGGCUCACCUAGGCGACUAUCCCUAGCUGGUCUGAGAGGAGGACCAGCCGCACUGCGACUGAGACACGGCCCAGACGCCUACGGGAGGCAGCAGUGGGGAAUAUUGCACAAGGGGCUCAAGCCUGAUGCAGCCAUGCCGCGUGUAUGAAGAAGGCCUUCGGGUUUUAAAGUACUUUCAGUCGGGAGGCGUUACCGACAGAAGAAGCACCGGCUAACACCGGGCCAGCAGCCGCGGUAAUUC
rnacentral:rRNA from 1 species